GUGGUUAAGUUAAUAAGGGCACACGGUGGAUGCCUUGGCGUUAGGAGCCGAAGAAGGACGCAGCGAACUGCGAUAAGCCUCGGGGAGUGGUAAGCACACUUUGAUCCGGGGAUUUCCGAAUGGGGGAACCCACCAUCUGUAAUGGGAUGGUAUCCUUCACUGAAUACAUAGGUGAUGAGAGGGCAGACCCGGUGAACUGAAACAUCUAAGUAGCCGGAGGAAGAGAAAACAAUAGUGAUUCCGUCAGUAGUGGCGAGCGAACGCGGAAGAGCCUAAACCGUAGGAUUUAUCCUACGGGGUUGUGGGGCGUUUCAUAUAGGAGUUACAAAAGACAGAUGUAGGUGAACAGUUUGGGAAGACUGACCAAAGAGCGUGAUAGUCGCGUAACCCAAACAUCUGUCUCUCCGAGACCAACCCCGAGUAGCGCGGGACACGUGAAAUCCCGUGUGAAUCUGGCAGGACCAUCUGCUAAGGCUAAAUACUACCUAACGACCGAUAGUGAACCAGUACCGUGAGGGAAAGGUGAAAAGCACCCCGGGAGGGGAGUGAAAUAGUACCUGAAACCGUGUGCUUACAAAUAGUCGGAGCACUUUCUAUGUGUGACGGCGUGCCUUUUGUAGAAUGAACCGGCGAGUUACGAUAGCGUGCGAGGUUAAGUCGAAGAGACGGAGCCGUAGCGAAAGCGAGUCUGAAUAGGGCGAAAGUACGUUGUCGUAGACCCGAAACCGUGUGAUCUAGCCAUGUCCAGGGUGAAGGUAGGGUAACACCUACUGGAGGCCCGAACCCACGCACGUUGAAAAGUGCGGGGAUGAGGUGUGGCUAGCGGUGAAAUUCCAAUCGAACUCGGAGAUAGCUGGUUCUCCCCGAAAUAGCUUUAGGGCUAGCCUCGGAAUAAAGAGUCUUGGAGGUAGAGCACUGAUUGGACUAGGGGCCCUCAUCGGGUUACCGAAUUCAG
rnacentral:rRNA from 1 species